rnacentral:tRNA from 2 species
GGGUCGGUAGCUCAGUUGGUAGAGCAACGGACUGAAAAUCCGUGUGUCGGCGGUUCGAUCCCGCCCCUGCCCA